UCCGAGAGAAGAAGGUGAGGACCUUCGGUUUUGAGAAGAGACCGUUUCUCUGUAGCAUGGGUACCAUUCUCUUGUCAGCAGCUUGCUAGCUGAGUGAGCUUAUGACGGUAGGUGAUGGUUUGAUUGAUGACAGGUGUUGGGUGAUGGGCUUAAUGUGGGUUGUAUGAUUUGACGAUAUUGCCCUUUUUUUAAAAUCAAAUGCACCGUUGUAUCUUGCUGAGCUUCUUCCUUCUCCUUGCGAUUUGGGAGUUUCAGCUCUUCUCUGCAAACCUCCCAAAGAAUGCCUUUUUUCCUCUUUCCUUUGAUUGACAAGACUGAAAGCUCUUUGUUUCUCCGAUGUAUAUAGAGGUUUCUAUGUUUCUGAUGCCACAUUUUCCAACUAUCAUCAUCAUGAUUCACGGUAACUGUGCCUCAUUUUCAUUGUUCUUUUCUUCCUCUUCAGUUGCUUGCUUCUUGGUUCUGAGCUAUAGCCUCGCUUCUUUUUCCUACUUUCUCUUUUCUUUGUAAGAAUUGCUAUCUUGCUGUCUUCUUCCGUAAGGUUUAAUUCCACUGUUAUUCUUUGAUUUUAUCUCCUUUUUCAGCGUAUUGCCUGCAUUGUCGUUCUUAUUUGGUUUUUUCCCCCCUAAAAUUUAUGCCCUCCUAAUCUGUUACUGUUGCAUUGCCUAUUUGUUUUGCUAUUCGGCUCGAUUUGUUUUUUCUCUUCUUUCUCAUGCGGUUUAUUUAAAUUUAGUUUUCUACCGUGGCCUCCUGAGCUGUGUUUUCCACUUUCCUCCUAUCAACAGUUCUUGCAUCACUGUUUUUGUCUUUUUUAGUAGCUCCCAUUCGUGCUUUCUUGCUACGUACAGGUUAUCUUACCCCACCUUCUGUUUUAUGCUCUUUUUCCUUUUAACCUUGACUUUGUUAUACUUUUUCCCGCUUUGUUCUCUGCUACUUGUUGUGCCGCAUUUACUCUUUGUUAUUGUAUCUUCUUAACCUUUGCCCCUCUCGCUAUUUUAUUGGAUGCAGAAACAAGUGCUUUCCUCUUCUCUGUUGCUCUCCUGUUUGCUGAUAAAGAUUUGUUAUAUAUAUCUAAGGUUAAGGUGACUGGAUAUGCAUUCCCAGUAAAAUGAAGUUAUUUGAUACCUAGCUUCUUUCUUUGACCUAUCAGACAUUUAUUGAUCAGGCGUUUCAAGUUCAUCUGAAUAUGACUGGAUUCUCUUUUUUUGUUUUUUGUUUUUUUUUGUUUUUCUCUUUUUUCCUUUUCUUCAUCGAUUUUUUUCCUCCUCGGCCGCCAUGUCAUCUCCCUCUUCUCUAUCGGCUCCCUUGAAG
rnacentral:lncRNA from 1 species